rnacentral:rRNA from 1 species
CCUACGGGUGGCUGCAGUGGGGAAUAUUGGACAAUGGGCGCAAGCCUGAUCCAGCCAUGCCGCGUGAGUGAUGAAGGCCCUAGGGUUGUAAAGCUCUUUUGGCAGGGACGAUAAUGACGGUACCUGCAGAAUAAGCCCCGGCUAACUUCGUGCCAGCAGCCGCGGUAAUACGAAGGGGGCUAGCGUUGCUCGGAAUCACUGGGCGUAAAGGGCGCGUAGGCGGAUGACCAAGUCGGGGGUGAAAUCCCAGGGCUCAACCCUGGAACUGCCUUCGAUACUGGUCGUCUCGAGUUCGGGAGAGGUGAGUGGAACUCCGAGUGUAGAGGUGAAAUUCGUAGAUAUUCGGAAGAACACCAGUGGCGAAGGCGGCUCACUGGCCCGAUACUGACGCUGAGGCGCGAAAGCGUGGGGAGCAAACAGGAUUAGAUACCCCGGUAGUC